CACAAUUUAUCAGUUUAUCUGUGUAUAUAUUUGGGUUACUUCCAAUUUUUGAUAAUGAUGUAUAAAGCUUCAAUGAAAGUUUUAUAAAUAUAGUUUUCAUUUCUCUUAGGUAAACGCCAAGCAGUGGAUUUGCUGGGUCGUUUGGAUUCCUUUGGGAAAAGAAGAUCUCUGUCUUAAGCCAAAGAAAAUACAAUUCAUUAGUCCUUGGUGAAAAUGAAGUUCUGGAAACCAACAGGUUGGUGUUCUUGACCCAUCAGCACCCUGAGCACUUGUGUCUUGUAACAAAGAGUAUGAAGACUUGGAGUAACGAUCCUUUCAACAAACAUUUACUGACUGUCUACCAUGUGUCUCACGUGUGGCUGGAGAAAACAGCACUAUACAAAGAGACACGCCUCCUGUCUUUCUAGAGCUCUAGGUCUAGCAAGAAAGAAAACUAUUAAAUAAACAAGGAACACUUUUAAAAUAAAAUCGUGGUAUUGCAAGGUAAAGUAUACGGUGUAUUAUUGCCAGAUCAGACCUAGUCCAGGAAGUUUCCUUAUGGAAAUGACAUUUAAAAUAUCCCACUGGUGAUGGGAAAAGAAAGUGUGGAAAAGGCACACAUGCUCCCUAAAAGUGUUAUGUCAGAAGGGACACAUACUCCGUUGGUUAAGACUAGGCACACAGUCAUGUGUUCAAGUAAAUAAAGAUGGGAAAAACAAUCUAGCUAUGUGCCUGAGAAAGCAAGAGUCAAUAGUCUUUGUCACAGAGAGUAUCCAAAAUAACCUCAUUGUAGAGGCUGCUUUUAGACAAAAGUCUUGAGCAAUGGAAACUUGAGCAAGGUCUAAAGGGCCCACAGGGACCACCAAGCUCAUUAAGGGACCCACCUCAAAAUAGCCAUAGGCUCUAAUGACCAAUUACAAGCACCGCAGUUCCUACAGUUACCAAAAAUGGGAAAAUCCAUAGUCCCCAAACUCUCUCACUCUGCCCCAUAACCGUCACUCACCACCAACUCCUCACAGACUGUCUUUCCUUUGCUCUCCUUGUAGUGUACUCAAUAAAAUUCUUUCUCUUUGGUUCUGCCUUGGAUGAAUUCUCUCACCACCCAUGCUGCCCCACCCUCUGGGACACCCGACAUUUGGUGGCCCCCCAUCUGAUCUGAGCGCACCACAUUCAUGUGUUGCCAUUGCACUAAGU
rnacentral:lncRNA from 1 species